UAAGUUUUAAAUGGCCAGGCCACGGGACGGGAAGGGGUCGGCAGGCACAAGGGUGCCAGCAGGGAGACGUCCCGUGGCCCCUUUGAGGCUCUCUUUUGUGUGAGGCUUCGCUGGUCGUGAUCCACUCCGUGGAGCACAAUAUUCAGACUGCAGAUGUAGCCGUGCGCUGGACAUGGUUUGGGGUUGGAGUCAACGGGAUGGGGUGCAGAGGAGAAGAGGCCUCUUCAGGCUCGGCCCGAGGCUUCAAAGGGAGGAGGAACAACACCCGGAAGGUCUUGCACGUCAACGUCGUCGUUGGGGGAGGCAGAAUAAUCAGCUCAUCUCUCGCCUACUAGAUGACGGCGUGUGCUAAAAAAAAGAGGGACAGGCCUGGCCUGUGUGUCAAGGAGUGGGUGAGCCCUUGAAGGCAUGGAUGAAGACAGGCUCAUCUGCCAACUACUUGUUGUUUGUGCCUGUCCUUCACGCUCGCCUUUGUCUGUCGGCUGGCGAGGAGCCGAUUGCGGAAAGUAUGAACCACGGAGCAAAAUCCCUCCGAGUGGCAUCGUAGCCCCGUUCCUGCUCAUAGUGCCUUGGUCUGGGUUUCUGUUUCCUCAGCUGCUUUGUGCUUUGAGGCUUCGUCCAUCAAAACGACAGGGAGUGACAUCAGAUUUGAUGAGAAAGUUGCCCCAAGACAGACAAGUCCUGGUUCCUGGGGGACCCAUGCAGCCUCCACAUCAGCAAGGUGGGGCUGAGCAUCGGCCUCCCCCUCGCCGUCACCCUUGCUGCGGCCAUCAUCCUUGCUGUGGUAAGCAAGCAUUGCCGAGGGUUGUGUGCGUGUGUGAACCUUCGAGAAAGGGAAAAGGGGGAGGAAAAAGGCAGAAGAAUGCGGGAGAGAGAGUGUGUGUGUGUGUGUGCGCGUGUUUCUUGAGCCCCUCCCAUGUGGCAGGAGAGGCUUUGUGGAAGGUGCCGAGCCUCCGUGUGGACAAGGAUGAGGGGCGAGGAGUGGGCCAGGAGGGUGCUUCUAGGCCCCUGAAUCCCCCCCCCCCAGUAUGAACCCUCCAACUUCUCUAGCCUGCUUUUCUCACCCCACUUCUCCUUCCCUCCAGGUGCAAGCCCGGAAACCUUGGUCCUCCAAAUGAUGAUUUGGGGAAGGACAGGGUGGAACCUGCCACAGGGUGGAACCUCAGCCCCUCCUGUCCAAAGGAGGAAGAGGAGGAGAAGGAAGGAAGGAAGGAAGGAAGAUUCGGAGGCCUGAUCAGAGUGCCGGCAGGCCUUUUUUUUUUCCCCUGCCUCUUGUCCAAAGGGCAGCCAUGCUUGAGCCCUUCCUGCCUGCCCCUUCCCCUCCUGCCCCCUCUGCCAGCCCCCUUCCCCAAAGCCUGCCCUCCGAGUCUCCUCCGUUCUCCCUCUUCGUCUCUUUUCUGAGCCUCUUCCAAAAGGCAGUUCCACCGGCCAGCCAUCCUCUGCAGGUUAUGGCCGGGAACAGGGGCCAGGGCUCCCAAGCGUUGUUACCUGGGCUGCCAGGAGCCUUUCGUGCCUCAUUAAAUGCCAGGCAGACCCACCCAUUGUCUCAAGCGUCCUGGUGUCUCUGGGCAAGAGGGGACCUGCUCUCCCUCUUUCGGCCGCCGAGUGCCUCUGCGGGAGGCCAGCUGGGGACCCCCUUGGAGAGGCAGGGGCCAAAGGUGCACUUACCUCUCAGGUGUCCUUCUGCCACAGUGCCCGCCCUCACAGCAAUGGCUGUGGCAGAGGAACCCCCCCCCCCCGAUCCCCACCUCAGCUGGCCUGUCUUUUGGAGAUGGGGAGGCUGGGCUGAAAGAACAGCAGGGCGGGGAGGAAACUGCAGAUAGGAAAGCUGGGUGGGGGUUGGAGGGGGCAGGAGAGAAGGAGGUCUCUUGCAAGAGAAUGACUCAGGGGAGGGGGCAGCCUAGGGGCCACUCUGAUGCUGAAACGAGGCUGG
ensembl:lncRNA